ensembl:rRNA 5S_rRNA 5S ribosomal RNA
GUCUCAGGCCGGAUCAGCCUGAAGGCGUCCCGAUCUCGUCUGAUCUCGGAAGCUAAGCAGGGUCGGGUCUGCUUAGUAUCUUGGAUGGGAGACCACCUGGGAAUCCCGGGUGCUCGAGGCU